AAAGUUAGUAGUGAAUUGGGUCUCUAAGUCCUCUUUUGCUUCCUCUUUUCAGCAACUCAUUGUCAUGAAGAACAAAAGACUCUCUUCAUCAAAGUUGAACUUUUGUCUUCAAAAGGGUGGAUUAUGUGGAAGACCUUCGGAGUGCUACUUUCUGGUUUGAGUUAUAAAUACCAUUUUUAAUGAAUGGAAAAUUAGAUAGGUCUACCGAUAACAGCAUCCUGGGCAAAUCUGCCUCAACCCUGUCCUCUGAGAUCAUCAGCAAGAAGUGUGUUUACCAGGAUUCCAGUUCUGCAAAGGAGGCUCCUCAAAAGAAGGAAGCAUCCACCCACCUGAGAGACUCUGUGUCAGAGAGAACCCAGAGCUUGGACAGCAGCAUACUCGCUUCUCUCCAUGUCACCUUGUGCUCUAAGGUUUGGGAGCCAUUGUGAGGAUGACAUCCUGUUGCACCUUCCAG
rnacentral:lncRNA from 1 species